rnacentral:lncRNA from 1 species
CGUUCCUUGAGUCAGUGCGGUACCUACCUCCUCCACCUUCCGAUUUCGUAUCCACGGCUGUAUCCUCCUCCAGCCACCGUUCCAACACCGGUAAUUGUUCCAACAUCGAGCGAACUGCAAUCUCCGCAUCCUCACCGGUCACCGAACAGUUCUGUCACGGAACCCAUCGCGGUUCCGCGAACUGCAAUCUCUCGCGGUUCUACGAUGGGUACCGGAACUGCAGCUCGCGAUCACGAUGGUUGCCGGAACUGCAAUCGCGAGCCGCGAUCGUAGAAUCGAUGGGUACCGGAACUGCAAUCUCCACGAACUGCAAUCGCGAGCUGCAAUCGUAGAAUCGAUGGGUACCGGAACUGCAAUCGCGAACUGCAAUCUCCACGGAAGCCAUCGCGGUUCUACGAUGGGUACCGGAACUGCAGCUCGCGAUCACGAUGGUUGCCGGAACUGCAAUCGCAGUUCCAUCACUGCAAUCGAUGUCGGACCUGCAGGAUGUAGUUCCGGCAGAUUUGGUGUCGCACGGGGGAACGUUC